GGGGUAGGAGGCGUGCUAGUGGUGGAUGACAUUGUGGCAGAGAUGGAGGUGGUGGCCAAGGAGGAGGCCGAUGUGGAGAGGCAGCAGGAGGACCAUCGGGCACAGAGCCCGGUCCUGGUCCCAUUAUGCCCCAGCACGAAGAAACUCAGCCACCCUGGGCACUGGCAUCAGGAUGAAGUUUUCCUUUUGUCACAAUCUUUACUUCCACAAUGAAAUGAUCAUUCAGGAGUAUUGCCUUGGCAUCCUCAGACACCGGGUGUCUCAUUCCACUGCAGUCCAGUGGUUAUGGGAUCAUGAAGGUCAAUCCUCCAGCCACAGGCAGUAUACCUCCUACCUGAGCUUCUGCAGCUGGUUGGCUGACCAUGGCUACCCAGGUUCUGGAAGGAUUGCUGAAAUCAUCAGCCGGGGCCUGUGGCUCAAUCCCCUGCAGUACUUCCCUUGGG
rnacentral:lncRNA from 1 species